AUGUGACCAGUAGGGCUGUAACGAUACGCGUAUCGAAACCGAAAUCGCGACACUCAAAGCCACGAACCUGUCUCGCGGUGUGAGAAGGCAGAAGCGCGAUACGCCCUUUCUAACUCUCCGGUCAAAUUGUCCGAUUGAAAUUUGCUAAUAAUUUGUCUAAAUAAUAGUCUGCUGACAGCGCCCCUUCCUAUCGAUGCCGUAAGUAUGCGACGAGAUGCCCUCUCUGUCCUCAUAUGCGAUAUGAACGACAUUUAUCCAGAGUGGGCCAAGCGCGAAAAAAAUUGCCUGUGUGAUCCUGUCUCUAUUGUUUUGUGUGAUUUGACUGGCAGUUUGUCUGCUUAUAGGUCGGAAUGAAGCGGCCACCGAUUAUUGACAGGAUGGGUACUUUAUUCUACCGGACUCGUUCGCUUCCUCACAAGACACACGCACUACCGCCCGCUCUCCUCGCUCGUCCACUCACUCGCUGACGUCACUCACACACGCAUACGCACACUGCCAUUCUCGCGCACACACAUAUGCUACUCGUAACACUAUGCCUCGUUGUUGCAACGUUCAUGUUAGACGUUCAUGUUUUUCCCCAUCUAUUGAAAGUUAGGCUAUUAAACAUGUUGCAUUCUAUACGGCCUGAUUAUGUCAUUAUUUAAGCUACAUAGCCUAAUAAAAAGCGCUAAUAAGGAUAUUUGACUAAACCAACCAAACAGUUGAGGGUUUUUGCCUACCAGCAAAAAGCAUCCUCCAACUGCAAUCUUUGGUUAGUUAUUUAUUAAUUUAGCUAUACUUUAAUAGUAUUCUUUCUGUUCAAAUCUGUUCAGUGUUCCAAAUUAUUUGUUAUUAAAUGUUACAUUAAGUUAAUUGGUAUAUAAGUGUUGUUUAAAUAAAAUGCUUUUUAAAUGUAAAAAAAUCGUGGGAUGUAUCGAACCGUGGGUCAAAAAUCGUGUUACAAACCGAAUCGUGAGUUUGUGUAUCGUUACAGCCCUACUAAUAAGGAUAUUUGACUAAACCAACCAAACAGUUGAGGGUUUUUGCCUACCAGCAAAAAGCAUCCUCCAACUGCAAUCUUUGGUUAUUUCUUUAUUAAUUUAGCUAUACUUUAAUAGUAUUCUUUCUGUUCAAAUCUGUUCAGUGUUCCAAAUUAUUUGUUAUUAAAUGUUACAUUAAAUUAAUUGGUAUACAAGUGUUGUUUAAAUAAAAUGCUUUUUACAUUUUAAAAAAUCGUGGGAUGUAUCGAA